rnacentral:misc_RNA from 1 species
AAAAGGGAAUCGAGCUGCAGGAUCCCCAACCAUUGUGACUUACCAAACACCGUUGCUUCGGCGGGCGGCGCCUCGGGUCUCCCGGGCGCCUCUCGGCCCCUCGCGGGUGCCCGCCGGAGGUAGACAACCCUUGUACUUUGUAUGGCCUCUCUGAGUCUAUGUACUUAAUAAGUCAAAACUUUCAACAACGGAUCUCUUGGUUCUGGCAUCGAUGAAGAACGCAGCGAAAUGCGAUAAGUAAUGUGAAUUGCAGAAUUCAGUGAAUCAUCGAAUCUUUGAACGCACAUUGCGCCCGCCAGUAUUCUGGCGGGCAUGCCUGUUCGAGCGUCAUUUCAACCAUCAAGCCCCCGGGCUUGUGCUGGGGACCUGCGGCUGCCCGCAGGCCCCGAAAACCAGUGGCGGGCUCGCUGUCACCCCGAGCGUAGUAGAUUUAUCUCGCUCUGGGCGUGCUGCGGGUUCCGGCCGUAAAACACCCCCCUUUCAAGGUUGACCUCGGAUCAGGUAGGAAUACCCGCUGAACUUAAGCAUAUCAUAAGCCGGGAGGAAAAAAAAAAAAAA